AUCACGAACAGUCGAACAUCAUGGAUGUUCGUUCAAAUUCUUGCGUUGCUUAGGUCGAAUUUGAACUUAAGCAUAGCCUCUACUAGGCAUUUAGUUUUUGUUACUGUAUAAUUCAUGCGUUGUCCGCCCAAAUCCAAAUUAACCAAGAAUAAAUCAUUUUGAGGUUAUGUUUCGCUAUUGGAUCCCAGGCUACCUUUGCCUAUUGCUAGGCCUAAAUUGAGAUGUUGUGUAAAUGACGCCAUAUAGAUGAUCUUCAUAAAAUCACAACCAAGUUAAGACUCCAAGAAUCAACUUAUACACUGCCCUAACUUAGAAAGGUACUGAACCGGAAAUGUGAAUUCUCAAAGAAACUGUUGAAAUAACUUCAUACAAAAAGAAGCAGUUAUAGGUGAAUCGGUUAAGGUUUCUGCUUAACCAGAAUAAAGGGAAGAAGUCUGUUUUGGAUGCAGUUUUCCCAACAUUCAUUGGUUAUUGAAGAGUUAUUUUUGUAGGAAAUAUACCCCAAAUUGUAUCCCUCUCCCUGAGGUCAGAUGUGAAAUAUA